AGCGUACACGGUGGAUGCCCUGGCAGUCAGAGGCGAUGAAGGACGUGCUAAUCUGCGAUAAGCGUCGGUAAGGUGAUAUGAACCGUUAUAACCGGCGAUUUCCGAAUGGGGAAACCCAGUGUGAUUCGUCACACUAUCAUUAACUGAAUCCAUAGGUUAAUGAGGCGAACCGGGGGAACUGAAACAUCUAAGUACCCCGAGGAAAAGAAAUCAACUGAGAUUCCCCCAGUAGCGGCGAGCGAACGGGGAGCAGCCCAGAGCCUGAAUCAGUGUGUGUGUUAGUGGAAGCGUCUGGAAAGGCGCGCGAUACAGGGUGACAGCCCCGUACACAAAAAUGCACAUGCUGUGAGCUCGAUGAGUAGGGCGGGACACGUGGUAUCCUGUCUGAAUAUGGGGGGACCAUCCUCCAAGGCUAAAUACUCCUGACUGACCGAUAGUGAACCAGUACCGUGAGGGAAAGGCGAAAAGAACCCCGGCGAGGGGAGUGAAAAAGAACCUGAAACCGUGUACGUACAAGCAGUGGGAGCACAGAGCAAUCUGUGUGACUGCGUACCUUUUGUAUAAUGGGUCAGCGACUUAUAUUCUGUAGCAAGGUUAACCGAAUAGGGGAGCCGAAGGGAAACCGAGUCUUAACUGGGCGUUAAGUUGCAGGGUAUAGACCCGAAACCCGGUGAUCUAGCCAUGGGCAGGUUGAAGGUUGGGUAACACUAACUGGAGGACCGAACCGACUAAUGUUGAAAAAUUAGCGGAUGACUUGUGGCUGGGGGUGAAAGGCCAAUCAAACCGGGAGAUAGCUGGUUCUCCCCGAAAGCUAUUUAGGUAGCGCCUCGUGAAUUCAUCUCCGGGGGUAGAGCACUGUUUCGGCAAGGGGGUCAUCCCGACUUACCAACCCGAUGCAAACUGCGAAUACCGGAGAAUGUUAUCACGGGAGACACACGGCGGGUGCUAACGUCCGUCGUGAAGAGGGAAACAACCCAGACCGCCAGCUAAGGUCCCAAAGUCAUGGUUAAGUGGGAAACGAUGUGGGAAGGCCCAGACAGCCAGGAUGUUGGCUUAGAAGCAGCCAUCAUUUAAAGAAAGCGUAAUAGCUCACUGGUCGAGUCGGCCUGCGCGGAAGAUGUAACGGGGCUAAACCAUGCACCGAAGCUGCGGCAGCGACGCUGAUGCGUUGUUGGGUAGGGGAGCGUUCUGUAAGCCUGCGAAGGUGUGCUGUGAGGCAUGCUGGAGGUAUCAGAAGUGCGAAUGCUGACAUAAGUAACGAUAAAGCGGGUGAAAAGCCCGCUCGCCGGAAGACCAAGGGUUCCUGUCCAACGUUAAUCGGGGCAGGGUGAGUCGACCCCUAAGGCGAGGCCGAAAGGCGUAGUCGAUGGGAAACAGGUUAAUAUUCCUGUACUUGGUGUUACUGCGAAGGGGGGACGGAGAAGGCUAUGUUGGCCGGGCGACGGUUGUCCCGGUUUAAGCGUGUAGGCUGGUUUUCCAGGCAAAUCCGGAAAAUCAAGGCUGAGGCGUGAUGACGAGGCACUACGGUGCUGAAGCAACAAAUGCCCUGCUUCCAGGAAAAGCCUCUAAGCAUCAGGUAACAUCAAAUCGUACCCCAAACCGACACAGGUGGUCAGGUAGAGAAUACCAAGGCGCUUGAGAGAACUCGGGUGAAGGAACUAGGCAAAAUGGUGCCGUAACUUCGGGAGAAGGCACGCUGAUAUGUAGGUGAAGUCCCUCGCGGAUGGAGCUGAAAUCAGUCGAAGAUACCAGCUGGCUGCAACUGUUUAUUAAAAACACAGCACUGUGCAAACACGAAAGUGGACGUAUACGGUGUGACGCCUGCCCGGUGCCGGAAGGUUAAUUGAUGGGGUCAGCGCAAGCGAAGCUCUUGAUCGAAGCCCCGGUAAACGGCGGCCGUAACUAUAACGGUCCUAAGGUAGCGAAAUUCCUUGUCGGGUAAGUUCCGACCUGCACGAAUGGCGUAAUGAUGGCCAGGCUGUCUCCACCCGAGACUCAGUGAAAUUGAACUCGCUGUGAAGAUGCAGUGUACCCGCGGCAAGACGGAAAGACCCCGUGAACCUUUACUAUAGCUUGACACUGAACAUUGAGCCUUGAUGUGUAGGAUAGGUGGGAGGCUUUGAAGUGUGGACGCCAGUCUGCAUGGAGCCGGCCUUGAAAUACCACCCUUUAAUGUUUGAUGUUCUAACGUUGACCCGUGAUCCGGGUUGCGGACAGUGUCUGGUGGGUAGUUUGACUGGGGCGGUCUCCUCCUAAAGAGUAACGGAGGAGCACGAAGGUUGGCUAAUCCUGGUCGGACAUCAGGAGGUUAGUGCAAUGGCAUAAGCCAGCUUGACUGCGAGCGUGACGGCGCGAGCAGGUGCGAAAGCAGGUCAUAGUGAUCCGGUGGUUCUGAAUGGAAGGGCCAUCGCUCAACGGAUAAAAGGUACUCCGGGGAUAACAGGCUGAUACCGCCCAAGAGUUCAUAUCGACGGCGGUGUUUGGCACCUCGAUGUCGGCUCAUCACAUCCUGGGGCUGAAGUAGGUCCCAAGGGUAUGGCUGUUCGCCAUUUAAAGUGGUACGCGAGCUGGGUUUAGAACGUCGUGAGACAGUUCGGUCCCUAUCUGCCGUGGGCGCUGGAGAACUGAGGGGGGCUGCUCCUAGUACGAGAGGACCGGAGUGGACGCAUCACUGGUGUUCGGGUUGUCAUGCCAAUGGCACUGCCCGGUAGCUAAAUGCGGAAGAGAUAAGUGCUGAAAGCAUCUAAGCACGAAACUUGCCCCGAGAUGAGUUCUCCCUGACUCCUUGA
rnacentral:rRNA from 1 species